rnacentral:rRNA from 1 species
GACAGAGGGUGCAAACGUUGUUCGGAAUUACUGGGCGUAAAGCGCGUGUAGGCGGCAGGGCAAGUCGGAUGUGAAAUCCCGUGGCUCAACCACGGAAGUGCACCCGAAACUGCCCAGCUAGAGUCUCGGAGAGGAAGGUGGAAUGCUUGGUGUAGAGGUGAAAUUCGUAGAUAUCAAGCGGAACACCGGUGGCGAAGGCGGCCUUCGGGACGAUGACUGACGCUGAGACGCGAAAGCGUGGGGAGCGAACAGG